rnacentral:rRNA from 1 species
AAUGAACGUUGGCGGCGUGGAUUAGGCAUGCAAGUCGCGCGAGAAGUUUCCUUCGGGAGACGGACAGCGGCGGAAGGGAGAGGAAUAAGUAGAAAUCUGCCCUCGGGACGGGGAUAGCGGCGGGAAACUGCCGGUAAUACCCGAUAACAUCUUUGGAUCAAAUGGUGUGAUUCCGCCUGAGGAUGAGUCUACUUCCUAUUAGCUAGUUGGUGUGGUAAUGGCUCACCAAGGCAACGAUGGGUAGCGGGUGUGAGAGCACGAUCCGCCUCACUGGGACUGAGACACUGCCCAGACACCUACGGGUGGCUGCAGUCGAGAAUCUUCGGCAAUGGGGGAAACCCUGACCGAGCGACGCCGCGUGCGGGAUGAAGGCCCUCGGGUUGUAAACCGCUGUCGUAAGGGAACAAAUCUAAGAGGGUACUCCCUUUUA